AUGCAAGUCGAACGAGAAGCCACCUUCGGGUGGUGGAAAGUGGCAGACGGGUGAGUAACGCGUGGGAACGUGCCUUUCGGUUCGGAAUAACCCAGGGAAACUUGGGCUAAUACCGGAUACGCCCUUCGGGGGAAAGAUUCAUUGCCGAAAGAUCGGCCCGCGUCGGAUUAGCUAGUUGGUAGGGUAAUGGCCUACCAAGGCGACGAUCCGUAGCUGGUCUGAGAGGAUGACCAGCCACACUGGGACUGAGACACGGCCCAGACUCCUACGGGAGGCAGCAGUGGGGAAUAUUGGACAAUGGGCGAAAGCCUGAUCCAGCCAUGCCGCGUGGGUGAAGAAGGCCUUAGGGUUGUAAACCCCUUUCAGCGGGGAAGAUAAUGACGGUACCCGCAGAAGAAGUCCCGGCUAACUCCGUGCCAGCAGCCGCGGUAAUACGGAGGGGACUAGCGUUGUUCGGAAUUACUGGGCGUAAAGCGCACGUAGGCGGAUUGUUAAGUCAGGGGUGAAAUCCCGAGGCUCAACCUCGGAACUGCCUUUGAUACUGGCAAUCUCGAGUCCGGAAGAGGUGAGUGGAAUUCCUAGUGUAGAGGUGAAAUUCGUAGAUAUUAGGAAGAACACCAGUGGCGAAGG
rnacentral:rRNA from 1 species